CAGAGCUAAAAGUAUUCUGAAUGUAAUUAUAUUCUAUUGUUUCUUCCCCUUUUCUAGGACAUGCUCCAGCUCCCCCUGGGAAGACUAAUUCUAUUACAAGGCUUUAGAAAAUGGAUCCUCUGCGUUAAGCUAAGGGCUCCCCUGAUCUCAGUCAUUUUUCUAUUCCACUUUCCAGCAGCCAGAGUUCUGUUCCAAGAAGCCCCUUCCUUGCUGCUCUGAUUAAGCCAUGAACAACAGGCUUCUUUGGGGUGUGAUUAUUUGUUUCCUGAGACCAGGUCUCCUGGAUGGCAAAGAUGCUGGAAUCACCCAAACCCCAAGAAAUCUAAUCACAGGAAUAGGACAGAAUGUGAUGCUGAAAUGUAAACAGAAUUUGGGACAUGAAACCAUGUACUGGUAUCGUCAGGAUCUGGGCCAGGAGCUUAAGCUCAUUUAUUUCUCAAUAACACGAGGUGAUAUUCAGAAAGGAGACAUUCCCAAAGGAUACAAUGUCACACGGAAAGAAAAGGAGAUAUUUGCUCUCCUCAUGCCCUCAGCCAGCACCAAACAAACAUCUUUUUAUCUCUGUGCCACCAGUCUAUACACAGUAAAGCAAAGUUAACUCUUCUCCAUGCAGAAACCUCCUUCA